GAACAGGUCAGAAACAUUUGGAACAAACAGAGCUUGAUCUGAAGCGAUAGACUCUGAAGGAUCAGGGUGUUUACGCUCUUCCAUCUACUGCAAAAUUCAAUUGGAAGGAUAUCUACUGCAUCUACUUCCAAAAAAAGCAUGAUGCAAUACUUGACGACAAAGGAAAAGGUCCAACAGCUACAAUUGAAUCUCCACCCAAAAGGUUCAAACAUGGAUCUCUGCGUAUCAAAGAAAGGUCGGACACAAGAUCUUCCAACAACUGAAGAUUUUCUCAGAUUAUCAGCAGCUUUUUAGAUUGUAGAAUGCCCUCUAUAUAAUUAUAUAUAACUGCUCAACUCUUAUGAAAACAUUUCAUGUAAAUAUAACAAGGUAGCUUAAAAUGUUGCAACAAACAUAUUACCUUCUGCCAAUGCUCACUUAACUCUAUUUUACUUUA